AAUGAACGCUGGCGGCGUGCUUAAUACAUGCAAGUCGAGCGAACAGAUGAGAAGCUUGCUUCUCUGAUGUUAGCGGCGGACGGGUGAGUAACACGUGGGUAACCUACCUAUAAGACUGGGAUAACUCCGGGAAACCGGGGCUAAUACCGGAUAAUAUUUUGAACCGCAUGGUUCAAUAGUGAAAGACGGUUUCGGCUGUCACUUAUAGAUAGACCCGCGCCGUAUUAGCUGGUUGGUAAGGUAACGGCUUACCAAGGCGACGAUACGUAGCCGACCUGAGAGGGUGAUCGGCCACACUGGAACUGAGACACGGUCCAGACUCCUACGGGAGGCGGCAGUAGGGAAUCUUCCGCAAUGGGCGAAAGCCUGACGGAGCAACGCCGCGUGAGUGAUGAAGGUCUUCGGAUCGUAAAACUCUGUUGUUAGGGAAGAACAAAUUUGUUAGUAACUGAACAAGUCCUGACGGUACCUAACCAGAAAGCCACGGCUAACUACGUGCCAGCAGCCGCCGUAA
rnacentral:rRNA from 1 species